GAUGAACGCUGGCGGCGUGCCUAAUACAUGCAAGUCGAACGCUGAAGGAAGGAGCUUGCUCUUUCCGGAUGAGUUGCGAACGGGUGAGUAACGCGUAGGUAACCUGCCUGGUAGCGGGGGAUAACUAUUGGAAACGAUAGCUAAUACCGCAUAACAGUAGAUGUUGCAUGAUAUCUACUUAAAAGGUGCAAUUGCACCACUACCAGAUGGACCUGCGUUGUAUUAGCUAGUUGGUGAGGUAACGGCUCACCAAGGCGACGAUACAUAGCCGACCUGAGAGGGUGAUCGGCCACACUGGGACUGGGAAACGGCCCAGACUCCUUAGGGAGGGCGCCGUAGGGAAUCUUCGGCAAUGGACGGAAGUCUGACCGAGCAACGCCGCGGGAGUGAAGAAGGGUUUCGGAUCGUAAAGCUCUGUUGUAAGAGAAGAACGAGUGUGAGAGUGGAAAGUUCACACUGUGACGGUAUCUUAACAGAAAGGGACGGCUAACUACGUG
rnacentral:rRNA from 1 species